CAUGAUGACAGUAAAUAAUAUUAGACUAGAUAUUCUUCAAGACACUAGUGUUCAGCUUAAAGUGACAUUUAAGGCUUCACUAGGGUAAUUAGGGUAACUAGGCAAUGGUAAUUCGGCAAGUUAUUGUAUAAUGAUGGUUUGUCCUGUAGACUAUUAGGAAAAAAUAUAGCUUAAAUGGGCUAACAGUUUUGUCCUUAAAAUGGCUCUUUAAAAAUUAAAAACUGCUUUUAUUCUAGCUGAAAUAAAACAAAUUAUAUUUUUUCCAGAAGAACAAAUAUUAUCAGACACACUGAUCACUUUCUUAUGUCGAGAUGUUCAUAAUAUGUGCGUGUGGAGGCACUCACAGGCUGUUUCACAGGCGCACGCAAAGCUUGAAGGUAAACAAACAACGGCUUAUCAUAAGCAUCUCAUCGAUGAUUAUUUACACAGUUGGCAUUAAGAAGAACAUAUAAACGUGAUCUGACUAACUUCUAGCAGCUAAAUGUGUCUGGAAAAAUAUUCAAAGGCUUUUAUCCUCACAAACCGCGCGGACGUAAAUGCGUCUGACUGUUGUGAUUGGCUAAAGCAGACGUCUCACGUCAGCACGUUCUAGACGUGCACGCGCUUAUUACGGGAAUCUUCCUUCUGCAUUCACACAGCGCAGCAUUCCGGCAAAUUGCCGGUAAUGUUACAACUUCUCUUUCCGGAAAAUAGCCAGAACGAAUUUACCGGUAUUUUUAAAAAGGACCUGUUCACACAUACAACCUUUCCGGAAAAUUGCCGGCAAUUUUCCGGAAAGGUCUGUAUGUGUGAAAGGGGCUUUAGUCU
rnacentral:lncRNA from 1 species